rnacentral:misc_RNA from 1 species
GAUGAAGAACGUAGCGAAAUGCGAUAAGUAAUGUGAAUUGCAGAAUACAGUGAAUCAUCGAAUCUUUGAACGCACCUUGCGCUCCUUGGCAUUCCGAGGAGCAUGCCUGUUUGAGUGUCAUUAAAUUCUCAAGACCUGUCUGCUUUUUUGAUAGGUAUUGGAUUUUGGGGGUUGCAGGCUGUUUCAAAUAAAUAGCCUUGCUCUCCUUGAAUGUAUUAGUGGAGAAAAGCCAUUGAACUCCAUUGGUGUGAUAAAACCUAUCAAUGCCAGGAGCAAUAUCACUACUUCUCUCUGCUGUCUAACUGUGACUGUCUGUAUUAAUUAGUAUGGAUGGGGACAACUUGACCAACUUGACCUCAAAUCAGGUAGGACUACCCGCUGAACUUAAGCAUAUCAAUAAGCGGAGGA